UGCAUUUCCCAAUAUGACCCCCGGUGGAAAUCGUUUUUCUAAUUCACCUUGCUUUUUCCUUGUCCUUGAAGACAGUAAUUUCCCAUUCCCUAUUGACUUGGGGCUGCGUUGUCCUUAAAUACCGCACAAUUUCCAGCAGAUUAAUUGCAGAGUCAUUGGCUCAGAUAAUUUCCUUUCCCUUAAUUAUUAUUUCAGCUUCUUCUUCUUCCUCCUCCAUCCACUUCCAUGGAUGCGCCGCUCUUAAUAGAAGAGAAGCAAAACGACGACGUCGAACUCCAACAAAGCUCCGCCAAUGGUAGCGCCACCUCCUUCGUCAAAACCUGCUUCAAUGGACUCAACGCUCUCUCAGGAUAAGACACAAAUUACUUUUUGUCAAUUCCAAAACGAAAAUCGACACUCCAUUAAUCGAUAAUGAUGAAUUCUGACACAUUAUAUUUUGUUUCUUAGUAAAUGUUAAAUUCAAGCCUUUCUGUUUUUCGUUUGUUUUUUUUUCUUUUCGUUAUUUUCUUAUCGAAAGAUAUAAAGAAGAAAAGUUAGGAUAAUGAUUAAUGUAUAAGCCGAAAUUCUGACAAAAAGCAGAGGGCUUCUGGGGAAGCCGUCACGUGACAAACAAGGCUCUUGUUUGGCUUCUUCUAAAAUUUUAGUAUUGUUACGUA